CACAGACCUCUCUAGUCCCAGUCUACAUGCCUGUGGGAGCCUUUAUGUGCAUGAGUAUGCACAGGGUAUGUGUGUCAGCUUUCACUGAAGGAGUUCAGAUGGGCCAUCUGUAAAUGUGUUGUAUUCGAGGGUCUAUGCUGCUCAAAUGACUUGUUGCAUAACCCUGCAGAAGUUUAUGAUGCAUGGCUGCAGCUCGUUACACAGUUGUUGUGUGGACCAACACCUUUACUAAUUGGAUAUUCUUUUAUCACAUGUGCAUCAUUCGUGCAUAACAAAAACCCAUUUGAGCGCUCAUGGGCAAAACAAUGCAAGGUAAAAGACAAACAAACUACCAUACUUUCUGGACUAUUGAGUGCACCUGAGUGUAAGGCGCAUCCACUAAACUUAAAAAGAGAAAAAUUUUGUACAUAUAUAGGCUGCAUUUGUCUAUAAGCCGCAGGUGUCCACGUUGUGACAUGAGAUAUUUACACAGAAGGAUUUUUAACUUUUAAUAAAUGCUUUUUUCCGAACAGUGACUGUAACACGGCAGUAAAACGCAUUGAGUCAGUUCAAUCUGCUGACUCCAACGUCUCACCAUCGAUUCAUUGAUGCCAAGCUAACGUGCAGUAGCUCCAUUUCCUUCUUCAAUAGGCAGAUCGAUUGCCUUUAACUUAAAAGCUGCAUCAUAUGCAUUUCUUCAUGUGUUUUCCAUGAUGAGGGUGUGUGCAUGAAGUGCAAAAUGACUGAUCCAAAGAAUUUAGUGUGAGUGUGUUUGAUUUAAUUCGAACAGUUUAAUUGUUCCACUGUGACCUGUUCGGUAAUUUCAUUCUGAUGUGACGAGGCUAAACGUAUUAGCGGCAUGAAGCUCGCCCAUAAAAAUCUAUACAUUAGCCGCAUCGUUGUAUAAGCUGCAGGGUUCAAAGCGUGAGAAAUAAGUAGCGGCUUUUAGUCUGGAAAGUACGGUAUAAGUUUCAUUCAUUUAUUUUUUAAUCAACUGUGUUUAUCAUGGGUUGCAUAGUGGCUCGAUGGUUAGCACUGUCACCUUGCAGCUAGACGAUCCCCGGUUUGUGUCCCAGCCUGGGCCUGGGAUCUUUCUGCAUGGAGUUUGAAUGUUCUCCCUGUGCAUGCGUGGAUUUUCUCCAGGUACUUGGGCUUCCUCCCACAGUCCAAAAACACGAUGAGGUUAAUUGGUAAUUCUAAAUUGUCCGUAGGUGUGAAUGUGAAUGUACUUGUUUGUCUCUCGGUGUAGCCCUGUGAUAGACUGGUGAUCUGUCCAGGAUGUCCCCUGCCUUCACCCUAAGUCAGUUGGGAUAGACUCCAGCCCCCCGGUGUACAGAUAAUGGAUGGAUGUGUUUAUCAUUUGUAGCACAUUUAUUUCGCAAACUCUCAUGAAAACUGAAGUUAUUCACUUACUGAUUGAUACAUCCGAUUUUGCCUCUUAAACCUGGUGGCAAUCACUCAUGGUGCUGUUGCAUUUGUUGCAACUAUGCUCGACAACCUCUCUGCAACAAAGAAUUUUUUACCUCGAAAGAAAGAAAAAAAUAUUCAAGUCACAGAUAGAAAACAGACAAGGAACAGUAUAUAAAGAGUUUGUUUACAAAAGGAUGACUUCGAAAAUGGACAUGUAUGGAACUGAAAACAGGAAUGAGGGAAUUGGAAAAGGAGUUGGUAAGGUAGGAAAACUAGAGAAACUAAACUGGGGGAACUAAGCUGGUGCUAAGGGACCUGAGGCGAACACUGUCGACCUCUGGGGGUAAUCAGAGGAACCUCUAGCCAAAAAUUUGGAAACUGGAAAUGUAACCCAGAAGUAACCUGCUAGGAGCAACUGACAGAACUAAGUACUACAAGGCUAGGAACAGCUAGAAGUAACACAGAGAAUCAAGGCUGCCAUGAGUGUAGUACGCAGCUACAGGUAAUCCGAAAACCACACACAGUACUAAACACACAAACAGAACCAUCCAAACAUGGCAAACCCAGAUUGUGACUAGACCCAGAAUGCCAAGGAGUUACUGUUACGCUAACAGGAGCACAACACAGGGAAACAAGCUACACUACUUAGAUGGCAUUCAGGGAAGAGGGAGCGUGGUCAGAGUCUGAGGGCGGAGGAGGAAUGUUGACCGUGGCUUGCGGAGGGUUCUUGACAAGAAGACCUGCAACGGAUCCAGGGAAGGGGAUCCAGAGGUGAAACAGGGUCCGGGUUGGCAGCAUGUGCAUCAGAGGAUUUGCAGAGGAAGGACAGGGAGCAGUUUGGAGAAUUAAUCAAAGCAGAGACAAGUUAAACCACUUCUGCUCAGGAGGAAGCCGGAGCACCCAGAGAAAACCCACGCAUGCACAGGGUGAACAUGCAAACUCCAUGCAGAAAGAUCCCAGGACCAGGCCAGGAUGCGAAACGGGGAUCUUCUAGCUGCAGGGCAACAGUGCUGACCACCGAUCCCACUGUGCAGCUCUCUUCCAAUGUCAGCUAACUUUAUUGAUUUGGAAAUGUCAUCAAAUAAUAAUUCCUAAUGAACAUUCUGGACCUGCUUCACAAGUCAAUUAAGGUCUAACAACUUCUGAAGUUCUGACACUUUACAAGUCAAAGGAUGCAAAUUUUUGAAAUGUUUUUUUGAUGCAGAGUUAGUAGUUUUUAGUCAUUUGAAUAGUGGUGGCUCUCAAUUACUGAUCUGCUCCCUGCAUGUGCAAGGAGGGUCAAGUGACAUGACAUGACUGUGCAGGUUGAAGGUGUUGGGUUCAAGCGUCAGGGUCAAAGAGUGUUGUGCUCGGCAUUUUGGGAACUCACGUAGGGGAAAGGGAUGUCAGGGUGCUCAAAGUGUCAGUGGCAGCUGUGUUGUAUGAACAUGUCUUCAGAGAAGCACUGGGGUGACAUGGAUGGAUUACUGACUGGACAUUUUGUGCUCCAGUGACUCUAGUCAGUGUAACUUCUGAGAACAUUUCUUGUUGAAAAGUCAAUCAGUGGAUCACAAAGAGACUUACAAAAUCAAAGAGAUUCAAAACAUCUACAGAGGCACAUAAAAUGACUACAGUUGCAUAUUACUACAAAAGGCUCUCUUUAUAAUCUGCCAGAUCACCAUGGUAACUGAUGCCACACAGCUCAACUGUGAAGGUUCUGUUCAGAGUUUGGGAUUUAAAUUGACUGUAAGAAGUGCCACCUUUCACCAGUUCUUUUCCUGAGCAAAUUCUGUAUAAGUGAUACAGAGUCUUAGCCGAGGGAAUACGUUUUAUCUGCAAACCUGUUGAACUGUACGUUACUAAUCCCACUGAAUGAAGCCAUGCAACUAAAGCACAAAAUGACCAAAUAUGUUUUUAUGUUUGGUCCCGAUUUGCUGUCCUGUAUGUUUUACACUGCUGGUACUGAAGCUAAUGAAACACAAAUUAGAACUUGUUGCAUAUGUAGUUUAAAAUUAACAGCUCUAGUGUGCAGGUGACACAUUUGAAAGAAGCAGCUACAUUGAGAGUGCAUUGAGUGGGAAAAUAAAUAUAAUAACUUAUAACAUUAACAGUUUUCUACCAGCAUUCCUCUUUGGGUCAUUUGCAAGAAAAAUUGCUGUUCUUUGACUGGAGUAGGCAGCACACCAUUGCUCCAGCUGUGCCAAAGAAGAGUCAAAUGGCAUGUCAGAAUCCACUUUUGGGGGCCUGAUGAAAAAAUCUGGGUAACAAAGGAACCACCAUUGUGAUGCUUAUAAUCUCUGACUGGGUUUUUAGGGUUUGUUGAGCCAGCUAACACAAAGAAAGUAGCCAUGUCAAACCUUAUUUGUAGUACACCCAACAGGAUUACUACUGACUCACUGUUUUCCUUUACUUCCUCUCCCUCCUAUUAAUGUUUGCUUCUUAUUUUAUGUAUUUUCCAGCCAAUCUACUGCUCUCAAGACAAACAUUUGAGCAGCAGGUGUUGCUUAUUUCUUUUCUUAUCUUGCCACCCUGAAUAGCUAAUAAAUAUUUCAUGGUACAUGGAAAUGACAAGUUAUAAUAUAGUCAGAAACAAUAGUUCACGCUGUAAUCAGCUAAACUGCUGCUUACGGCUUAUUUAUUCUGAAGUUUGACACCAGCAGCUAAAACCCUAAAAUAAAAGCCAGUUUAUAGUACUGAUUAAUUGUUCUGUUUCCUCACUUGUAAAUAAAGAGCAUGCACUCA